CAGGGGCGGGCGGGCGGCCGCGGAGUGGCGGGCGCCGCGCGGAGGCAAGGCGGGCGUGUUCAAUGGAAGUAUGCUACCAGCUGCCGGUGCUGCCCCUGGACAGGCCGGUCCCCCAGCACGUCCUCAGCCGCCGAGGAGCCAUCAGCUUCAGCUCCAGCUCCGCGCUCUUCGGCUGCCCGCAUCCCCGGCAGCUCUCGCAGAGACGUGGGGCUAUUUCCUAUGACAGUUCUGAUCAGACUGCGUUAUAUAUUCGUAUGCUAGGAGAUGUACGCGUAAGGAGCCGAGCAGGAUUUGAACCAGAAAGAAGAGGUUCGCAUCCAUAUAUUGACUUCCGUGUCUUUCACUCUCAGCCUGAAAUUGAAGCAUCAGUCUCCGCCAGGAACAUCAGGAGGCUGCUAAGCUUCCAGCGCUAUCUCAGAUCCUCACGCUUUUUUCGGGGCACCACAGUUUCUCGUUCUCUCAACAUUCUAGAUGACGAUUAUAAUGGACAAGCAAAGUGUAUGCUGGACAAAGUUGGAAAUUGGAACUUUGACAUCUUUCUGUUUGAUAGACUAACUAAUGGAAAUAGUCUAGUAAGUUUAACCUUUCAUUUAUUUAGUCUUCAUGGAUUGAUUGAGUACUUCCAUUUAGAUAUGGUGAAACUCCGUCGAUUUUUAGUUAUGAUUCAAGAAGAUUACCACAGUCAAAACCCUUACCACAAUGCAGUCCAUGCUGCAGAUGUUACUCAGGCCAUGCACUGCUACCUAAAGGAACCCAAGCUUGCCAGCUCUGUAACUCCUUGGGAUAUCUUGCUGAGCUUAAUUGCAGCUGCCACUCAUGACCUGGAUCACCCAGGUGUUAACCAGCCUUUCCUUAUUAAAACCAACCAUUAUUUGGCAACUUUAUACAAGAAUACCUCAGUCCUGGAAAAUCACCACUGGAGAUCUGCAGUGGGCUUGUUGAGAGAAUCUGGUUUGUUCUCACAUUUGCCAUUGGAAAGCAGGCAAAAGAUGGAGACUCAGAUAGGGGCACUGAUACUAGCCACAGACAUCAGUCGGCAGAACGAGUACCUGUCACUAUUUAGGUCUCACUUGGACAGAGGUGACUUACACCUCGACGAUGGCAGACAUAGGCAUUUGGUUCUACAGAUGGCCUUGAAAUGUGCUGACAUUUGUAACCCAUGUCGGAACUGGGAGUUAAGCAAGCAGUGGAGUGAAAAGGUCACGGAGGAGUUCUUCCACCAAGGAGAUAUAGAAAAAAAGUACCAUUUGGGCGUGAGUCCACUUUGUGACCGUCAGACUGAGUCUAUCGCCAACAUCCAGAUUGGUUUUAUGACUUACCUAGUGGAGCCUUUAUUUACCGAGUGGGCCAGGUUUUCAGACACGAGGCUGUCACAGACAAUGCUCGGACAUGUGGGGCUGAAUAAGGCCAGCUGGAAGGGACUGCAGAGACAGCAACCCAGCAGUGAGGAUGCCAAUGCUGCAUUUGAGUUGAACUCCCAGUUAUUAACUCAGGAAAAUCGGUUAUCCUAACCUGAACCAGUGGGACAACUCCCUCCUGCAAGGCUGUGGAAAUGUGAAAUGGGUCCCCAGGGGAAGAGCUGGUUCUGACGGCCGACGUUUCCAAGGAAAUGACUCCAGCAUUAUUUAUCACUGAGAUUUCUUGUGUUGGUCAUUUGAGCCCACUUUUUAGUGAUGAGACCUGAGUAUACAGCAAUAUGCACCUGGCUUUUGUGUGAAACCCUGAACGUACAAAGCUCAACAGGGGAACCGGAGAGGAUUAGCAAGGAAGAUUUGCUCCACGUUUUCAAAGCCCAUAUCCUUUGAGCCCUGAAACUUGAACUGAAUCUCAGCAGCAACCUGUCCGAUACAGCCGCACAUCUGCCCCUUCCACUAUGUUCUCUCUGAGAAAACAGAAAUGUGAAGUGCCGAGCCUCUGCUGCCUCUGGCAAGACUCAUUGUUUACAAACCCACUCUAAAAUACUGGUUCUCACUCGCCUUGGAGCAUGAUUGUGAAGGAACCACCGAGAUUGACAGCUCGAGCUGGAGAUGCAAGCUCUCCCGUGGUUUGCCUUUUUUCUUUUGGAUGCCCUCAGAGCCUCCCGUUCGCUGUUUUGUCCUGUGCACCAGAGAGCGAGCGUUUAUCCGGAGCACCAAGCGUUCCGCUCCAGUGCUGUUUGGCAAUGCAUAUUUUUAACUAUUAGAUUUUCAUUUGGGGCGGGAGGGAAGGAACACCAGUAUCCCAGCCGUGUCCUGACUCUGCAGUGAAGACACUGCAUGUUGUUUUCACUACUGUACACUUGACCUGCACAUGCAAGAAAAGGUGGAAUGUUUAACACACCAUAAUCAGCUCAGGGUAUUUGCCAAUCUGAAAUACAGUGGGAUGGGGAAGUGUGUCCUUCCGAUCAAGGGAACUAACGUCCCUUUCGCUGCAGUGCGUGAGAGGCAAAUCUCCUUGAGAAGCCAAAUUAGGAGCAGCUGGUUUGCUCAGUGAGCAAGGAUUCUGAGCAAGGGAUGCUACGCGUUUCCUCAUGCAUCCCUCUCCCUGUGGGGAUGGAUGCCUUCUGAUUUCCAUAGCUGUGGACUGGGUACUCUCUUCCCCUGGAUGCUAGAGGUUCUCUGCCACUAGUUGCUUCUCCACAUUAGCUUGAUUGGUAACUCCAUUAGAUCUGUUACUUCCUUCAGCUCCUUUUCUGUUGAGCUUGCCUGGGCAAUUGCACUGCCCAGUGUGGCUGUUCACUUCUGCUCUGAUCUGCUGGUCUUCCAAGGUAUAGCGUCCCUGUUUACAGCUUCUCAAAGGGAAGCUAGGUGAUGUUCCCAUACCCAUCACAAGUUUGUUUUCUUAGAACUGUGGGAAUUCCCUGUCCCUCCUGCUGCUUUGACUUAUUUUCCUUCAACAAUUGGCUCUUCUACAAGAGUUUGGGGAAACAGAUAACAUUUUUUUUUUAAGUAAGCAAACAGAGCAGUGCAAAAAUCAUUGCAUUUCAAGAUAAAUUGGACACAUCAAAGAGUUUUUUAGGCUGUAGCUGCCAUUUGGGAGUCUGGGCCCAGUGCUGAAGAGGGGAUGGUUACUAAGGUCUCUGCUUUAGGAGUGAGAAAAAAAUGUUUUUUUCUCCUUUUUUGAGACAAGGUUUCUUUGUGUAGCUUUGGAGCCUGUUCUGGAACUCACUCUAGAUACCAGGCUGGCCUCAAACUCACAGAAAUCUGCCUGCUUCUGUCUCCCAAGUGCUGGGACUAAAGGCAUGCUUUAAAAAAAAAUUUAACAAGGCCUACCUUAACUACAAAUCUGGUUCCUCAUUAAUAUUUGUACUUUAAACAAUGGUUUGUAAUGAAACUUUGUAUUAAAACAAAAAAAAAAGGGCAAAAUUUAUAUUUUUUGUCCUCUGCAAACCUAGAAAAAACAGCCUGUACCUGAGGUAUAGGUUCGAGGUGCUAGUGAGCCUUCACGGUUCAGAAAUGGUCUUUUUCCACAAUGCUCUUUGGAUGCUUGUUUCCUACUUAAGACUAAAAACUGUCACAAUCUUAUCAUGUCUUGAGACCAGUAGCUAAUAUAAUCCAUACUGCUUUUAAAGAAAUGUGCAAACGAGCACAUCUCCAAUGUGUGUUUGAAACAUAACUUACAUUGAAGAUUUGGUCUGCAGCCAUUCUCUACUAAGAGCCUGCGUGGCACUGGAGGACCCCCAAGGCCCAUAGUCAUCAUUCAGGAGGGAUAACCAACCACCACAGGGCCACACGGGGAUGAGAUGACAGAAACAUAAAGGGUCUCUUAAGUUCUUCUGUGAGCAUGGUGUAGGAUGGAUAUAGACUGGACCAUGGUAAAAACUACUGUGGAGUGUACCCUUUAGCUGUCAGAGCAUUGAUUGGCUGCCAGAAGUGGUUUGGGUGGUGCUGAAGUUGUGUAGUAAAUAAUGUCUGGUUCCUGUUGUAUGCAGAACAUGGCACUGGUGUUAAAAUCUUAGAGCAUCACAAGCCAGGGUCUCCUUCAAACUGUUGUGGUGAAAGAAAAUGUUUGUAGUUAGUUUUUAGAAUUGUGUAUGAAGGGUCUUGAGAGACUGGCUUAAUGACGAAACUAACACCAUUCUUACCUCUUAAUAUCUAACUCGCUCAGCAUUCAAAUUUGAUUGUAAAAUACAAUGUUAAGUAUUCAAAAUGAUAUUCUGAGUAAAAUGUUGACUUUGUCAAUUGCA